rfam:Ciona savignyi cont_14347, whole genome shotgun sequence.
UUACUCUGGUUUCUCUUCAUCGUAUGAUUCUUUCGCCUUUUACUAAAGAAUUCCGUGGAGGGGAGCAUUUCAAUGAGUCUUAAGAUGUUU